ACUCCCUGAUGUCUGACUGGAGAAGACGGAGAGACAGAGAAGUUCUCCGCUUGCCUGCUCAAGGCUUCCUUUCUGUGCUCCUGGUCCCUGUCUGAGGACCCACCUCACCCAUGCCUGUCUGAUGCCAGAAUGCCCAUCUGCUUAUUCCUUAUCCUGCAAAGCAACUGUCUCCAGGCAACCGAAUAACUUACAUACCGUGCCAGGUGCUACACAAGACGCUGGCUAUGGCAGAGAAGAGGACAGCCCAUUUUACCCCCAUGGAGGUCACGGACAAUGGGAAGAAAGCUAUUGAACAAGUCAUCAAAGAUCUGGAACAUUUCCAUUCCGUCUUCAAGCAUCCUCAACCCUCCUAUCAACUGGAAAAAGAAAACAAACAAAAACCUGGCUACUCUGAACAAACAAGCUGGUGGGAAGGCGUCGUUCAGCUCUUUCAGGCUGCAAAAACCAGAGACACAUCCAGGCUACUUCAGGAAAUGAGUUUCUUUUGUAAGGAUACACAGGGGUCGAUUUCUCAACAUCUUGCACCCAAGACUCCACACGGUGGGUGCCUGCUUCCAGAGAACCCAGUCUGUGACAGAGAGUGGAGGAGACAAGUCUUUUUGAUGAGAUUGGUUGAGAAGAGACAAAAGAAAGACAGCAUUCCUUAUGUAGUGAGUGAUACAUACUAAUGGGUGAUUUAGGAGCUGAUAUUGGAGCCAUUAUUCCCUGUCCUAAAAUGUGACCCAGCUGGAGCUGGACUCACAAGGACCCACAAGAACACAUCAACUGGGCCCUGAGGUAUAAAGACAAUAGCUAGGACAAUCUUGGAAAACAUCUUCUAGGGAAACUUUCACGUAAACAGCUCAUAAAACACAACACAAAAGACCCACAUAUUUUCCACUCUUAUCUUUUUCUAUUCGCAUUUAGUGAAUAGUAAGAUUUGUUGGA